AAAAAGCACAAACCCCGAGGAGAGCGGGAUAUUAAAAUUCCAGGGAAACUGUAGGAAGAGCAGCCCCAGGGGGGAAACACCAAAAUUUUGGGGCUGUUCAAAUUCAGCCUCUGGGUUUGCCUUUUUUUUUUUAAAUCCCUGUCACGCAUGUGACCCUGCGGGGCUCAGCCUGCGGGUCCAGGGAUUUGUGCUGGCACAAAGAAUGCUGUGGAGCCUUUAGGGAAGCAGAGCCAUCCCCAGCUCUGCCCGGGACCUCCUGACCCCAGGGACACCUGGCCCAGCACUCCCCUUUGGAUUUUCCCUGGAUCCAGAGCUCUGGGAUGGUGCCCCUGGGCUGCCCGGGUGCGGGAGCACGGCUGCGGAGCCUUUAUUUCUGCCUCCUCUUUGGGUGCUUUGGAACAGCAGCUGAAAGUGAGGUUUGAAAGCAGCUGUGUGUUUGCAAAACAGUGAAUUAUCUCCACACAGUCCUGGGGCUCCCAGAGUCCAUCUGCACAGGAGCUGCUUGCAGGUGGGUCAGGAGAUCCCAAACGAUGGCUGAGAUUAAUGUGGAUGAAAG
rnacentral:lncRNA from 12 species